GUGGGGAAUAUUGGACAAUGGGCGAAAGCCUGAUCCAGCCAUGCCGCGUGUGUGAAGAAGGUCUUCGGAUUGUAAAGCACUUUAAGUUGGGAGGAAGGGCAGUAGUUAAUACCUUGCUGUUUUGACGUUACCGACAGAAUAAGCACCGGCUAACUUCGUGCCAGCAGCCGCGGUAAUACGAAGGGUGCCAGCGUUAAUCGGAAUUACUGGGCGUAAAGCGCGCGUAGGUGGUUUUGUAAGUUGGAGGUGAAAUCCCCGGGCUCAACCUGGGAACUGCCUCCAAAACUGCAUGACUAGAGUACGGUAGAGGGUAGUGGAAUUUCCUGUGUAGCGGUGAAAUGCGUAGAUAUAGGAAGGAACACCAGUGGCGAAGGCGACUACCUGGACUGAUACUGACACUGAGGUGCGAAAGCGUGGGGAGCAAACAGGAUUAGAAACCCUGGUAGUCC
rnacentral:rRNA from 1 species